rnacentral:rRNA from 1 species
GAUCGAACGCGUAGCUACAGGCUUAACACAUGCAAGUCGAGGGGCAGCAUUUAGUUUGCUUGCAAACUAAAGAUGGCGACCGGCGCACGGGUGAGUAACACGUAUCCAACCUGCCGAUAACUCGGGGAUAGCCUUUCGAAAGAAAGAUUAAUAUCCGAUAGUAUAUUAAAACCGCAUGGUUUUACUAUUAAAGAAUUUCGGUUAUCGAUGGGGAUGCGUUCCAUUAGUUUGUUGGCGGGGUAACGGCCCACCAAGACUACGAUGGAUAGGGGUUCUGAGAGGAAGGUCCCCCACAUUGGAACUGAGACACGGUCCAA